GUCGCGCAAGCGCCGUAGGCAGGAGCGGGGGACCCAAGGUAAGUGCUGGGAGCGGUGGUUGACGCCGUGCCCGGCUAGGGGUGAAGUCACGGACGUGACAGGGCAACUCAACCGGCCCUAACCCGACAGCUCACCUCGCAGGCGUCGGUGAGGGGAUCG
rfam:Streptomyces acidiscabies strain NCPPB 4445 genomic scaffold scf_64481_79.1, whole genome shotgun sequence.